GGCAGAGAAAUUUCCAGUUACUGGGAUGUCAUAUCCCGGUAGGCAAGGAACGUGGACCCAUGAGCCAGUAUGAUAAGAACCUCUGGCCUGAGGUCGCUCGUCAGGCAGCGU
rnacentral:telomerase_RNA from 1 species